rnacentral:rRNA from 1 species
GACGUAGGAGGCGAGCGUUGUCCGGAGUUACUGGGCGUAAAGCGCGCGCAGGCGGCCCUGCGCGCUGCCGGUGAAAGCUCCCGGCUCACCUGGGAGAGGUUCGGCAGGACGGCAGGGCUGGAGGGCGGUAGAGGGUGGUGGAAUUCCCGGUGUAGUGGUGAAAUGCGUAGAGAUCGGGAGGAACACCCGUAGCGAAGGCGGCCACCUGGGCCGACCCUGACGCUGAUGCGCGAAGGCCAGGGGAGCGAACGGG